CCCUCCCACUACCGCGGAGUUUGCGAUAUCAUAUUGUUUUUCAUUGUAUACAUCCGGCGCGAGCGAUUCUCUGUUUCAUCAACCGCUCUAUCCCUUAGUUUUUCAUUGUUGUGCUUCCUUUCUUCCCACCGCCCCCCUCCUCUCGCACACGCACGCACAGCGGCACAGAUACAUACAGAGGCACUCCUCCUCUCCGUACACUAUCUUUCAGCAACAUUUCCUUCCCCCACCUCUUAGUGUGCUUGCCCCUCUCCUACUCUCUUUCACGUUUUGCAACACCAGCGUCAACCAUGGCCAAGCAGAAGCUCGGCUUCAAGAUCAGGGGGAAGAACGUCUCCUACGAGGGCUACCCUGAGCGUCGCCCAAAGGACCUGAUGGACAUCCUGGUCAAAAUGGGCGUCGAUGAAACUGUCGUGGUGACCACCUUUCGCGAAAACAUCGACAACCACAAAGACUACAGCGACACGCAGGUGAUGGCGAUGUACAACGAAGCCAAAUCAGCGCGCGAGAAGAAGACUCGCGCGAAGGCCGGCAACAACCCAGACGAGUCAGCUGCUGCCGCCGCCCCUCCGCAGUCGGAUACCGCCGAUGAUGCGGAGAAGCCGCAGAAGAUCUUACUGUGCUACCGCGGCAAACAACUUUCCUACGUUGGUCUGCCCAGCGGCAAGCGCAACGCCGUGCUGCAACUCCUCUCCAAGCAGGAGGAGCUCACCAAGGAGCUUGCAGUGGAGACGUUCCGCACGAACCUGCCCGAAGAUUCGUCCACGGAGGAGGAGAUUUGGCUCUUGGUGCAGGCGGUCAAGGAUCGCAAGAGUAGGAAGAACCAAUCGAAGGGCCAGGAUGCCGAAGGCUCCACCGGCAACGGCGCGGCUGCCUCGCGCGCGGCGGGCAGCAGCGCCAUGGACAGCAUAACCGGUAUGUCCGAGAGGGAGCGCGACGACCUGAACAACUUUAUUCUUCAGGUGCUGCAGCAGCCGGCGCCGGAUGUGGCCGCCCUCUUGCGUGAGGAUCCGAAACGGCCCAAAGACACGGAAGACAAUGCAGAGCUGGCACUGACGGCACGCAUGUCGGGUAAGAUACCGGUUUACCUUCAGGAAGAGAACACCAGCGGCACGAAGCUUAUCUACGCCACUCCUCACAUGAGCUUCGACGAUUUUCAUAAGAUUGUCGAGAAGAAGUUUGGCCGCAAGAUGGCGUUGUCCUUCUAUGACGGUGACGACAUCAUCAUGAUGGAUGAUGACGACGUGCUGGCCAUGUUCCUCGAAAUGACGAUGCAGAACGACCCAAAGAAGGUCCGCCUCAUUUGCUCAAACCCUGAGCUCCCAAAGAAGGUGGUGGAGGACCGGUUGACGGAAACCCGUCAGCAGGCCCCCGGCGGUAUGCAGGUCUCAACGACCAAGGCAUUGGCGUACUCCAACGGCGAGCUCAACGUCACCGAGACCCGCAGCUACUCUGGUCACUCCCUCGCCGUGUACUGCUGCUGCUUCUCGCCCAAGGGCGACAUGUUCGUUACGGCCAGCCGCGACCGCACCAUCCGCCUGUGGAACUUGCGCACCGGUGUCUCCACCGUCAUGAAAGGAGGGCACAACGGCUUUGUGCUGUCUUGCGACUACUCGCCAAAGGGCAACCGCGUCGCUUCCUCUUCCGAUGACCGCACUAUCAAACUGUGGAGCACGUCAUCAUGCAGCAAGGUUGCCACACUCAAAGGGCACGAGGACAAGGUGUACUGCGUCAAGUACAACUCUACCGGAGAACUCCUCGUGUCCGCCUCCUGCGAUACCACAGUGCGCGUGUGGAACGCCGAAAGUCAGACGAAGCUGGUGACGCUGAGGGGUCACUCCCUCGCCGUUUUUUCGUGCGCCUUCAGCAACACUGAUAAUGGCAAGUUCGUCGUGUCCGGCAGCGAUGACCGGGUUAUAAAGCUGUGGGACUGGGGCGCCGGCAGAGAGAUCAUGUCACUGGUGGGCCAUAUCGGCACCGUGUGGACGGUCGUCUUCUCUCACAACGACAGGUACGUUCUCAGCGGCAGCAUGGACUAUGAACUCAUUCUCUGGGAUUCAAUGACUGGCACGCGCCUGCGCUCGAUGGACGGGCACAAGACAUCAGUGCACCACGCCAUCUUCUCCGAAGACGACGCGUACAUCUUCUCCUGCGCCCGCGACUGGAGCGUCAUGGUGUGGCGCACCAGCGAUGGCGAGCACGUAGAGACCAUCAUCGGCCACCUCAGCACUGUCUACCACAUGGACAUCAGAGAGGACAAGUUGCUCACCUCCUCUCUUGACGACAAGGUCAAGCUGUGGACUAUCAGGCGCCGCUGAAGUUGAGCACCAGCGGAAAAUGUGGUAGUGUGAACACUGGCGGGAGGGACACGCGCCAGCCGCAAGUGAGAAAGAGGUGUGGGCGGGAAGGCACAUGAUAGGUGAUACAGGCACCGUACUCGUACACCAUUCCUCCUUUUGGCAGCAGUCAUGCAUGCAGAUACGCACACGCACAAAGACAGUCGCAUUUUUUUUUUGUGCAGAUCAUGCGGGGCUGAAGACGAUCUCAAGAAGAGAGCGCUCGCACCUACCGCCCUCUUCCCUCCACUGACACUGCAAAACAAACACCCACACACGCACUUUACUGUCUUUUCUCCUUUUCUUCGCUUCGCUCUCGUCAGUUCCACCGAGUCCUGAUUGAGUUUUGGUGCCACGCGCGUGAAUGCGUGAGUACCACCGUUGGUCGGCCCUUUUCGUUUUCUUGCGUCCUUUUUGCUUUUCGUGUCUCUACGUCCUGCUCGCAGCGCAUCGACCUCUGUCAGAGGAUAUCACUUGGCCGUGUCCUUUCUUUCGCUCUUUUUCUCCCUUUGCUGCCGUUGUUGCGGGCCAGUGGCACCCCGCUCCUCUCGCUGCUCUACCCCGCGACCUCGGCGUGCAUCUCUUCAAUGCUUCUCCCUCUCCAACUCCGUCUCCCCCCGGCUUUUUCUCUUUUGUGCGCUCUCUUAAGUGAUGCUUCCAAGGAAACGAGGACAACAACAACAAAAAAGCUGAUCGGAGGGCGGAUGGACGAGAUACAACAGAUUAUACACGUCCAGCCAUUCCAUCCCGCUACUUCUCUCUCGUCUCCCUCUCCCUUUUUGCUUCUUUCAUUCUUUUACUUUUCUGCGGUGCCUUGCCCGUCUCUUUCUCUGUGUUUGUGUGAGUUUGCUCGCUCAUGCCUUUGUCUCUCUCUCUCUCUCUCUGUGGCUGAUGAUGCCAGCACAGCAGCUCUUCGUGACUCGAUCUCGAUUCGCUCUCGGUUUUUCUUAUUCUUUUUUCAAUUCUCUUUAUCGAUGCCAAGGAUUUUGCUCUGUUCUUUCCCUCUUUUUCACCUUUCCAUUGCUAACGAACGCUCGAUAGCGGCAAAAGGGAGAAGGAGAGAGAGAGGUGAUCGCGCGCGCCGAUGUCACCGCGACGAGAAUGACAGAGGUGGGAGGGCGGCGCACAGGCACCCGCAGUCUGGUUACCUCUCUAGGGUGAUUUUUUUUUCCCGCUCUCCUUUGGAGUGGAGCACCCACCCCCUCCCUCUCUCGUCUACUCCUUCCUAUUCCUCCACCUUCCUCGUCACCCCAGCCCUCCACGCGCCUCUCUCUCUCCCUCCUUUGUUUGUUUGGUUCUUUUCUUACUUCUGUCUACUCUUGAAGCUUCGUUUUUUUUUUGUGCCCUCUUUCAGCAUCUUGUGUUUGCGUGCUUGCCUUUCUCACUCCACAGAUCCCCGUACCCGCGUGAUGCACCGGCGCCGCCCUUUUUUUCUGGUGCAUUUCUCUUUACUGUUCAUUCUCGCUCUCUCGUCUAGACGUCAUUCUCAAAUGCCGAUGAACAAACCCUUAUUUUUAGAGGUGUUUGUUUUGCUGUCGCGCGCGCUGGUGUGCAUUCCCGCCGUGAGAGAGUGUGGUUCCUUCCUUCCACUUCUCUCUCCUCUCGUGUGCUCUUCCUUGCUUUCACGCGUGACAUCAUUAUUGGACGGCCGGCCGGCGAACCCCCAACUUCCAAAUACGGCCGCGCACGUGUAUGUGUGAUGUGCGUCAGUGAGCGCGCUUCGUUUGUUGGUGGACGUGCGUUUGUAUGCUGACACGUAGGCCAGUGUUGGACACUGUGUGUGUAUUGUGAGCGUGAUGUGCGUGGGUGUACACGCUGCUACACGUUCCGUGUGCUCUUCAAGGACGAGCUUGCGUCUCAUACCCCGAGAACCCAUGCACAAUUCUUCCUCACUGUGCACACAGAUCCCCACACAUGCGCAUUUUACUCGCCACUACCGGGGGACGUAAAAAACGGGGCAACAAUGCUCCUUCCCCAACUUGUCUACUUCCCUCUAUGUUGUUGCUGUUGCUGUUGCUGCUGUUUUGUCUCCCCCUCCUUCCUUUCUUCUCGCUACACUUCUUUUCUAUCCACGGGACGGAGGCAGCUCUUUUUUCUUCUUGCUAUUUCUCUCUCUCACUUUCACUACGCCGCCUCCUCGCUUACCUCUUUUCUUUUCUUUUACUGAUUUUAUUUUGGUUGUGCGGGUGACUGUAGACUGUUUGCACGCGUGCAGGAAAAAAAUGACAAAAAAUUAAGAACAAUCGUGAGCGUCUUGUGUAUCGCUGUUCCCCCUUUUUUUCCUUUCUCCUUCCAUGCUCUUUAUUGUCGUUAUCUUUUCGUUUUUUUUUGUCUCAUCCCCCUCCCUCCCCCAAUUUGCUGUUUCCCAAGCAAGAAGAUCGACCGCGCAGAGCCGAGGAGAAGCGGACAAACAUAAAAAAAAAAACAGAAGAAACACACGCAACACACGCUCGCACAGACACACAGACGAGAAUCGCGCAGGGUCCACGGACAACGCACCACAACGAAAGAGGCAAACAAAAAAAAAACAGACCAACACGUUACAAAGGCACCCGCAAAACGCUCUCCUACUGCCUUUCCCUAUUGUGAUACCUUCUUUACAUCCUGUUUUUAUCUCCCUCCUCCUCUGAAAUUUUUGGGAUUGACCUUUUUUUUUGUCACUCUCUGCGAGUGUCUCUGUGUGUGUGUGUGCCAAGCGUCGCCAUCGCCAUCGCCAUCGCCCCUACUUUCUAUUUGCCCCUCUUACGCAUUCCUCCUUCUCUGGUCCUUUCUUGCUGUGUUGCCGAUCUGUGCUUUACCCGCUUUCCUUUCGAUUUUUGUUUCGUCGUGACGCUCUUCUCUUUCUUUCGCUUUCUCCAUCAUGGGGGAAUGUGAAGUGCACACACGCGUGCGUGCGUCAGUGCUCGGCGCCGUUGUUGGCCUCGUCUUGCCGUGUGUCGGCAUCUCUCUGUGUGUCUCUCUUUAGCGGUUUUCUUUCUUUACGUUAUAUCUUGUCGCUCUUGUUAUGCCGACGGGUGGCGCCCAACGGCAGCGACUGACUGGCAAACAAACGUAGCGGGGCUUGGAAAAAGGAAAAGAGCUACUCGCCGUAGCUGGCGUGUAACGCCACGGACAACGACCGCCACGCCUACCCCGCUGAUGGAGGAUGCCAGCAAAACGGAUGAGCAUACAAAACCGCAAAAGAGAGAUAAGAGUGGAGGAUAGGCACACACACACACACACACACACACACACACGAGCGCGAUGCUUACGACUCCAUUUCUGUCAGCAACCCUUUACACUGUCGCGCGCUUCUGUCAGCUGACUCGGAAUCAACCCUUUUUCCGACUACUCAGGUUCCUUCGUGCCGUCGCUCUUCGCCGUUUCUCUUUCUCGUUUAUUUCGAUCUCUCUCUCUAUCUCUGCGUGUGCACUUGUGUGUGAGUUCAUGUGUAUGCGUGCUUCUGCGAGCUGUGCUUUUUUUCGUCCUCGCUUCUUUUUUAUUGAUUGCUGGUGUCUUCUACCCACUUCCGAACACAAAUCUCUCCAACAAGUCACUGCAACGAAAAUUGACUCACACCAUUGCUCGACCCCUUG
rnacentral:misc_RNA from 1 species